GGCUGCAUAGCUCAAUAGGUCAGAGCACCGCAAGCGAGCGGGAUCCCGGUUCGAGCCCGGGUACAGUACA
rnacentral:tRNA from 1 species